rnacentral:rRNA from 1 species
ACAUGCAAGUCGAACGGUAGCACAGAGAGCUUGCUCUCGGGUGACGAGUGGCGGACGGGUGAGUAAUGUCUGGGAAACUGCCUGAUGGAGGGGGAUAACUACUGGAAACGGUGGCUAAUACCGCAUAACGUCGCAAGACCAAAGAGGGGGACCUUCGGGCCUCUUGCCAUCAGAUGUGCCCAGAUGGGAUUAGCUUGUUGGUGAGGUAACGGCUCACCAAGGCGACGAUCCCUAGCUGGUCUGAGAGGAUGACCAGCCACACUGGAACUGAGACACGGUCCAGACUCCUACGGGAGGCAGCAGUGGGGAAUAUUGCACAAUGGGCGCAAGCCUGAUGCAGCCAUGCCGCGUGUAUGAAGAAGGCCUUCGGGUUGUAAAGUACUUUCAGCGGGGAGGAAGGUGUUGUGGUUAAUAACCGCAGCAAUUGACGUUACCCGCAGAAGAAGCACCGGCUAACUCCGUGCCAGCAGCCGCGGUAAUACGGAGGGUGCAAGCGUUAAUCGGAAUUACUGGGCGUAAAGCGCACGCAGGCGGUCUGUCAAGUCGGAUGUGAAAUCCCCGGGCUCAACCUGGGAACUGCAUUCGAAACUGGCAGGCUUGAGUCUUGUAGAGGGGGGUAGAAUUCCAGGUGUAGCGGUGAAAUGCGUAGAGAUCUGGAGGAAUACCGGUGGCGAAGGCGGCCCCCUGGACAAAGACUGACGCUCAGGUGCGAAAGCGUGGGGAGCAAACAGGAUUAGAUACCCUGGUAGUCCACGCCGUAAACGAUGUCUACUUGGAGGUUGUGCCCUUGAGGCGUGGCUUCCGGAGCUAACGCGUUAAGUAGACCGCCUGGGGAGUACGGCCGCAAGGUUAAAACUCAAAUGAAUUGACGGGGGCCCGCACAAGCGGUGGAGCAUGUGGUUUAAUUCGAUGCAACGCGAAGAACCUUACCUGGUCUUGACAUCCACAGAAGAAUCCAGAGAUGGAUUUGUGCCUUCGGGAACUGUGAGACAGGUGCUGCAUGGCUGUCGUCAGCUCGUGUUGUGAAAUGUUGGGUUAAGUCCCGCAACGAGCGCAACCC